AGAGUUUGAUCAUGGCUCAGAACGAACGCUGGCGGCAGGCCUAACACAUGCAAGUCGAGCGCCCCGCAAGGGGAGCGGCGGACGGGUGAGUAACACGUGGGAAUUUUCCUCAAGGUACGGAACAACUCAGGGAAACUUGGGCUAAUACCGUACGAUGCAGAGAUGCCAAAGAUUUAUCGCCUUGGGAUAAGCCCGCGUCAGAUUAGGUAGUUGGUGGGGUAAUGGCCUACCAAGCCUGUGAUCUGUAGCUGGUCUGAGAGGACGAUCAGCCACAUUGGGACUGAGACACGGCCCAAACUCCUACGGGAGGCAGCAGUGGGGAAUCUUGCGCAAUGGGCGAAAGCCUGACGCAGCCAUGCCGCGUGAAUGAUGAAGGUCUUAGGAUUGUAAAGUUCUUUCGCCCGUGACGAUGAUGACGGUAACGGGAGAAGAAGCCCCGGCUAACUUCGUGCCAGCAGCCGCGGUAAUACGAAGGGGGCUAGCGUUGUUCGGAAUUACUGGGCGUAAAGCGCGCGUAGGCGGUUUUGCAAGCCAGAGGUGAAAUGCCCGAGCUCAACUUGGGAAUUGCCUUUGGGACUGUGAGGCUUUGAGGACGAGAGAGGUGAGUGGAAUUCCCAGUGUAGAGGUGAAAUUCGUAGAUAUUGGGAAGAACACCGGUGGCGAAGGCGGCUCACUGGCUCGUUUCUGACGCUAAAGCGCGAAAGCGUGGGGAUCAAACAGGAUUAGAUACCCUGGUAGUCCACGCUGUAAACGAUGAGUGCUAGGCGUCGGCAGGCUUGCCUGUCGGUGCCGCAGCUAAC
rnacentral:rRNA from 1 species